CCUACGGGUGGCAGCAGUGGGGGAUAUUGCACAAUGGGGGGAACCCUGAUGCAGCGACGCCGCGUGGGUGAAGAAGCUCCUCUGCGCGUAAAGCCCUGUCAGCAGGGAAGAAAAUGACGGUACCUGAAGACGAAGCCCCGGCUACCUACGUGCCAGCCGCCGCGGUAAUACGUAGGGGGCAAGCGUUAUCCGGAUUUACUGGGUGUAAAGGGGGCGCAGACGGCGAUGCAAGCCAGGAGUGAAAGCCCGGGGCCCAACCCCGGGACUGCUCUUGGAACUGCAUGGCUGGAGUGCAGGAGGGGCAGGAGGAAUGCCUGGUGGAGCGGUGAAAGGCGUAGAUAUCAGGAGGAACACCGGUGGCGAAGGCGGCCUGCUGGACUGCAACUGACGUUGAGGCCCGAAAGCGUGGGGAGCAAACAGGAUUAGAUACCCCUGUAGUC
rnacentral:rRNA from 1 species